CUACGGGAUGCUCCAGUGAGGAAUAUUGCACAAUGGGGGGAACCCUGAUGCAGCAACGCCGCGUGGAGGAUGACGCAUUUCGGUGUGUAAACUCCUUUUAUAUGUCAAGAAAAUGACGGUAGCAUAUGAAUAAGCACCGGCUAACUCCGUGCCAGUAGCCGCGGUAAUACGGAGGGUGCAAGCGUUACUCGGAAUCACUGGGCGUAAAGGACGCGUAGGCGGGUUGGAAAGUCAGGUGUGAAAUCCUACAGCUUAACUGUAGAACUGCACUUGAAACUUCUAAUCUAGAGUAUGGGAGGGGGAGAUGGAAUUAGUGGUGUAGGGGUAAAAUCCGUAGAUAUCACUAGGAAUACCUAAAGCGAAGGCGAUCUCCUGGAACAUUACUGACGCUAAGGCGUGGAAGCGUGGGGAGCAAACAGGAUUAGAUACCCCAGUAGUC
rnacentral:rRNA from 1 species